UAAUGGUUAAUUCUGGGAUUUCAGGCUAG
rnacentral:piRNA from 1 species